rnacentral:rRNA from 1 species
CCUACGGGUGGCAGCAGUGGGGAAUAUUGCACAAUGGGGGAAACCCUGAAGCAGCAACGCCGCGUGAAGGAUGAAGGUUUUCGGAUUGUAAAGUCCUUUUGUCAGAGAAGAUAAUGACGGUAUCUAACGAAUAAGCCCCGGCUAACUCCGUGCCAGCAGCCGCGGUCAUACGGAGGGGGCAAGCGUUACGCGGAAUGACUGGGCGUAAAGAGCGCGUAGGCGGGAUAGCAAGUCAGAUGUGAAAGCCUAGGGCUCAACCAUAGAACUGCAUUUGAAACUGUUAUUCUAGAGUAUGGGAGAGGUAGGUGGAAUUCUUGGUGUAGCGGUGAAAUGCGUAGAUAUCAGGAGGAAUACUGAUAGCGAAGGCGGCCUGCUGGAACAUAACUGACGCUGAGGCGCGAAAGCGUGGGGAGCAAACAGGAUUAGAUACCCGAGUAGUC